rnacentral:rRNA from 1 species
CAGCAGCCGCCGCGGUAAUACGAAGGGUGCAAGCGUUAAUCGGAAUUACUGGGCGUAAAGCGUGCGUAGGCGGUUUGUUAAGUCUGUUGUGAAAUCCCCGGGCUCAACCUGGGAAUGGCAAUGGAUACUGGCAAGCUAGAGUGUGUCAGAGGAUGGUGGAAUUCCCGGUGUAGCGGUGAAAUGCGUAGAGAUCGGGAGGAACAUCAGUGGCGAAGGCGGCCCCCUGGACAAAGACUGACGCUCAGGUGCGAAAGCGUGGGGAGCAAACAGGAUUAGAGACCCCAGUAGUCCCUGUCUCUUAUAC